AUCACUAGAGAAAAAGCGCUAUUUAAAUAUAAUUGCCUUCACUUAAAUGUUAGAAUUUCAGUUCAUAACAUGGAAAAUAAAAACUACCGUAUUUCCUUGAAUUGCCGCAGAGCAUAUAGUAUUCGCCUGCCUUGAAUUACUGCCUGGUCAAACUCGUGACACUUCCCCUCAUUAUUUUAAAAAUGCAGGAGGCUGAUUUCAAUACCGGUAAUUUGAAAUCGCAUAAAGGGAAGAAGAUUAAGAGCCAUUCAGUAGGAUCUAAGGUCCAAGCUUACAUCACACUCAAAUUUUUACCGCAUGCCUUUGGUAAGUGCCGGAGUGAGAAGAGGUUUUAAAAUAAUUAGCGCCUGCUUACUUUUACCGCAUGCCUUUGGUAAGCGCAGGAGUGAGAAGAGGUUUGAAAUUAAUUAGCGCCCCGGCGGGCAAUUGAAGGAAAUACGGUACUUUUAAAAGAUGCGUCUUUUUAUUUUUUCAAUUGCCAAACAUGUAAAGCAGUCUUUUUACACCUGCUUGAUAAUACCUUAAAAAAAAAAAAAAGGAAUUACAUUUAAAACCUGCAUCCGUACUCCCAUUUUGAAAAUAGAAAUAUUGCCUCGGACGUAUUUUGUAAACGAUGUCAUACAUGCUAGCUUAUUAGGCCUGGCAAAGGUGACAUUGCCGUAGUGCCCUCGAGCAAGCGUUCCAUUCUUAGACAUGAAAAGCGGACAAUAUGACGGCGUUUCUAUCGUUGAGCAUAUUGCGGUAAUCACGUGAAGUGUCAAAAAUCGUGACUUACAAAUAUUGUUUGUGUCAGUAGAGAAUAUAGAAAACUGUGAUAUCCCAGCAGCCCUGAAUGAGCCACAAACAAGUCAGGUGAUGCCAUACUUGCCAACCUUGAGACCUCCGAUUUCGGAAGGUGGGGGCGGGGCGUGGUUAAGAGGGGAGGAGUGUGUAUAUAUAUAUAUAUAUAUAUAUAUAUAAAGAAAUACUUGAAUUUAUUGUUCAUUUAUUUACACAUAUCCACACACAUAACACUCAUCUACUCAUUGGAAAGGGUUGAAUUGUCCAUCCUUGUUCUAUUCUCUGUCAUUAUUUUUCUAACCAUAUGCAUGUACAGUAAAUGGCAGUAUUGUCCUUUUUUUUAAGAGUGUCACAACAUUGCUGUUUACGGCGGACAAACUACAUUACGGCAUGGCGUAGUGGGUAGAGCGGCCGUGCCGGAAACCUGAGGGUUGCAGGUUCGCUUCCCACCUAUUGACAUCCAAAUCCCUCCUUGGGCAGGACACUUCACCCUUUGCCCCCGGUGCCGCUCACACCGGUGAAUGAGUGAUGAAUGAAUGUUUGGUGGUGGUCGGAGGGGCAGCCACGGUUCCGUCAGUCUACCCCAGGGCAGCUGUGGCUACAGAUGUAGCUUACCACCACCAGGUGUGAAUGAAUGAUGGGUUCCCACUUCUCUGUGAGCGCUUUGAGUGUCUAACAAUAGAAAAGCGCGAUAUAAAUCAAGGUAGAUGAAAACGUGACUGCUGUUGUUGUGUGUUGUUACCGCACUGGGAGGACGUUAAUGAAACUGCCUAACAAUAAACCCACAUAAGAAACCUAAGAACUCGCCCUCAAUCAUUCUACAGUGAUAACGUCAUUGGGCAGACACGCUAUUUAUAUUGUGGGAAAGCGGACGUGAAAACAGAUUGUCCGCAUGGAGCUGGAGGGGGCGUGGCCUUAAGCUCCGCCUGAAUUUCGGGGGAAAAUUUGUCCCGGGGGGUUUUCGGGUGAGGCGCUGUAUUUAGGGAGUUUCCCGGAACAUCCGGGAGGGUUGAUGCUCACCUUUCAACGGGUAUUCUUCUGUUAGCUGUAAAACUCAUCACUUCCUGUUGGGGUGAGGAAAUGUUAGACCUUUAUUUAUAACAUGUUGGACAAGAUUUAGGCCACGUUUUGAGAUGAUUACACAAAAUCACACAUUAUUCUCCCAAGUUGUUGUUGUUUUUUAAACAGAGUUUGAGGCAAUACAAACCGGAGAACAUUCUUAUGUAAAAGUUUGGAACAAUAUUUCCAUUGUUUUAGAGGCAAGAAAAGACAAUAAAUAAUGUUAAAUACAGCUUCCGAGGUGCUUAUGAGCGCGUGCGCCGUUACGACUUCAUCCGUGUCUUGGCCACAUCUUGAUGUUUGCAGGUUGAGGAACAAAAAAAAAAAAAGAAGGAAAAUGAAUGUUGAAAGUAGAAAAGUAGUCCCUCUGCUUUCUAGGAGGACAUGACAGCCCGUGUGAUGCUUCAACCACUAGACCCUUCAUGAGGUAUCCAACUUCAAACCAAAUUGACAAAAAAAAAAAAAAAAAAAGGCUUUUGUAGCGAAAUUAAGAGUUUUCUUGUUAAUGGACUCGGAAACAACACAUCGCAGCAGCUGUCCGCCUUGAAGGAGGUCCGCCAGACAGCACCAGCACAGCAAUGAGGACCCAGUCUUGAUGUCCGGUCAGUUCUUAAGUGUCUUUUCCCACUUCCCCGUGUUCCUCUUUCCAGUCGCCGGGCGCGUGCCCGAGGUGGAUCAGUUGCUGUUGCAGCACGACUGGAAGGAGUAGUACGAGGGUUUCUGCUGGCCCAAGUUGACGCUCGUUUCUUCGGCUGAAACACACAACAGUCCUACGUAAUAAACACAUCCCUGUUAAUGGACUAAUUAAGACAGUGUUUUUCAACCUUUUUUGAGCCGAGGCUCAUUUAGUGGCCUAGUGCAGUGUUUCCCACAGGUCAGGCAUCUAUUUGUGGUGGUGUGGUCAAGCGGCAAGGGGACGGCGGCGAUGACCAAGAAGAACGCGGAGUUGGAAUAUAAUUACAACACUUUAUGUACGUAUUUAUAUAACAUGUAACUACAUAAUAUGCGGCGUCUUCAGUAUUGCGGACGUUGUAUCGAUCCGUUGUGGUGAAGAAGGAGCUGAGCCGGAAGGCAAAGCUCUCAAUUUACCGGUCGAUCUACGUUCCCAUCCUCACCUAUGGUCAUGAGCUUUGGGUCAUGACCGAAAGGAUAAGAUCACGGGUACAAGCGGCCGAAAUGAGUUUGGGGCUCUCCCUUAGAGAUAGGGUGAGAAGCUCUGCCAUCCGGGAGGAACUCAAAGUAAAGCCGCUGCUCCUCCACAUCAAGAGGAGCCAGAUGAGGUGGUUCGGGCAUCUGGUCAGGAUGCCACCCGAACGCCUCCCUAGGGAGGUGUUUAGGGCACGUCCAACCGGUAGGAGGCCACGGGGAAGACCCAGGACACGUUGGAAAGACUAUGUCUCCCGGCUGGCCUGGGAACGCCUCGGGAUCCCCCGGGAAGAGCUAGACGAAGUGGCUGGGGAGAGGGAAGUCUGGGCUUCCCUGCUUAGGCUGUUGCCCCCGCGACCCGACCUCGGAUAAGCGGAAGAUGAUGGAUGUAUGGAUGUAACUACAAGCUCCAUUCACAGACAGAGUCCCAUUGCUUUUGUGAAUUAUAUUUAUAUAGCGCUUUUCUCUAGUGACUCAAAGCACUUUACAAAGUGACACCCAAUAUCUAAGUUACAUUUAAACCUGUGUGGGUGGCACUGGGAGCAGGUGGGUAAAGUGUCUUGCCCAAGGACACAACGGCAGUGACUAGGAUGGCGGAAGCGGGAAUCGAACCUGCAACCCUCAAGUUGCUGGCACGGCCACUCUACCAACCGAGCUAUACCGCGGUCAAGCGAGUCAAAAGCUAAAAAUAAAAUUAAAAAAAUCCCUUUUAUGUAGCUAUUAGGGUUAAAUAAAAUAAUAAAUGGGUUGUACUUGUAUAGCGCUUUUCUACCUUCAAGGUACUCAAAGCGCUUUGACACUACUUCCACAUUCACCCAUUCACACACUGAUGGAGGGAGCUGCCAUGCAAGGCGCCAACCAGCACCCAUCAGGAGCAAGGGUGAAGUGUCUUGCUCAGGACACAACGGACGUGACGAGGUUGGUACUAGGUGGGAUUUGAACCAGGGACCCUCGGGUUGCGCACGGCCACUCUCCCCACUGCGCCACGCCGUCGCCUUCAAACAGUGGAAGAUUCGAUUCAAAGGGGGUUAAAUCAUUGUGUCUUCUCAAAAUAUUUAUAAAAGGAUCUUGUGUUUUUAGAAAGUGAGAGAUCAUUCUCAUCUGAUUACAACUUUGACUGUCACGAAAGAGCAAUUGCUGACUGAAGCCCACUGGAAAUGGAACCAGACUUCUUUUGUAAAGGUAACGAUCCUUGUACUGGUUGGCAUACAUAAACGUUUUAAGAAUUUUACUUUAUCUAAAAACUAGUUGGGAAAUUGUGUUAGAUGUAAAUAUAAACAGAAUACAAUGAUUUGCAAAUCAUUUUCAACCCAUAUUCAGUUGAAUAUGCUACAAAGACAACAUAUUUGAUGUUCAAACUGAUAAACAUUUUUUUGUGUGUGCAAAUCAUUAAAAAAGUUGGGAACGGUGGCAAUAAAUACUGAUAAAGUUGAGGAAUGCUCAUCAAACACUUAUUUGGAACAUCCCACAGGUGUGCGGGCUAAUUGGGAACAGGUGGGUGCCAUGAUUUUAUAUAAAAACAUUCCACUUUCAAAGCUUCAACAAAUAGUUUACUCAGUUCCCAAAUGUUUAUUGAGUGUUGAUGUAACACAGUGGUGAACAUGCCCUUUCCCAACUACUUUAGCACGUGUUGCAGCCAUGAAAUUCUAAGUUAAUUAGUAUUUGCACACAAAAAAAUUAAGUUUGAGUGUUCUGUUACAACUAAAAGUUGUCAACCAGGGGUAGGGAACCUAUGGCUCUAGAGCCAGAUGUGGGUCUUUUGAAGACUGCAUCUGGCUCUCUGAUAAAUCUUAGCUGACAAUGCUUAACGCGAUAAUUAUGAAUAAUUUCGCUGGUAAUCACAGUGCUAAAAAUAACGUGCAAAAUAUAAAACAUUCUCAUGCAUUUAAAUCCAUCCAUCCGUUUCCUACCGCACCUGUUCAAGAAGUCGCAUUAAUGGUAAGAAGUAUUUUAUGUCACGAUGCGGGGGUCGCAGCUUGCUGCAGGGUCGUUCCCCCAGGAAGGCAGACGGACUACUCGGGACAUGGCAUUUAGGUAAAAACAUGAUUUAAUUUAAACUAAAAAAAGAUACAAACAAAAAUCGCUCACAGCGGAGGCACAACUUGGGCUAAGGAACAAAGCUAACGCAUAAACAGAAUAAGAACAUAAAUCAAACAAAACUUACUUGGCAUGGCAUGAAGCACGAAACUAUGGCAAGGCAUGAAACAAGUCAGCACAGGGCGACUGACUGGCAAAGACGAGCUUAAAUACUGCCUCUGAUUAGUGCUCGGGAAGCAGGUGAGCGGGCAGUUUGUCCACCAGAGACAGGUGGACAAAAUGAGUAACCAAGGAAACCAGACAAGGGAGUGGAAAAAAACAGGAACUUAAAGAGUCCAAAGGACAAACAGCACAUGGCCAAACAAAAACAUGAUCAACAUUAUUGGUUAGCUUCAGAAUAACAAUGUUAUUAAAAAGAAUAAGAGACUUAUUAUACUCUAGAAAUGUUGGUCUUACUUAAAAAUGCACGCAUUUAGUUGUAUUCAGUGUUAAACAAUAUUAUAUGGCUCUCACGGAAAUACAUUUUGAAAUAUUUGGCUUUCAUGGCUCUCUCAGCCAAAAAGGUUCCCGACCCCUGUUGUAAAAUCUUGUUUUUUGAAGUGUGUUGUGCUUCUUACAUAUAACAUUAUUACGUGUGUAUUUGUGGCCAUCUUGUGGUCAUGGCAGUUACUACAUCGUUGAGAAGCGUGCAUUUUGAAUCAAACUUUAUAGACCGGAAGUUGCCUAAGACAAGAGAAAUCUACGAUGCCAUCACGUACUUUAUGGUGGUUAUUUUUCGAAGAAAUAACUGCAUAUAUCUUUUGUUUAAGGUUGCAUUGCCGUUUCACCCUUUUGAAUGUCAAUGAACCUGCUGACAAGGCUCACCGGUCUUCAGAGUCGUGGCAUAAGAAAGUGGUUCUUAACUUGGGUUCCAUAGGGGUUCGGUGAGUCGGCCUCAGGCCGGAGGUCAAAACACACUCGACUCAUCGUAUAAAUACAAACUUCUCCCUAUUACGGGUACGGCAACAUCUGACUGAUUUGCAGGUGUCGUAGAUUUGAUGCAAUCAGUGACAAUUGACAAGAUUAACAGUCAGGAAAAUAAAGGAAACGCAUUGAAAUGAGAAGGUGAGUCCAACCUUUUGUUGAUCUGAUCACUGACCGUAUAGGUAAGAGCUUUUACAGGCAAAACAAAUUGCAUGAUUAAUCAAAGCGUGUACAUGAUUAGUGUGUUUUGUUGUGAUUAAUCACAUGAGUUAACGCGUUUAUUUUGACUGUCAUCUCUUAUAAUAAUAAUAAAAAUAAUAAUCCUUGUUGUUUUAAGUUUUUGAUUUACAAUUGUUGUCAUCCUUAUAUUUCCCGAUUGAUUAGUGUAGUACUUGGAAUUAAUUAAACUUUCAAUAUAGACUUAGACACAGUAACUCAGUUAGAAAGGAUGGAAAGUGUAACGAUAGAAAGGAUAAUGCAAGUAAAAAGUAGACUAAAAAUGUACCAUAGUAGCAAUAUAAAAUAUAACAUAUAGACUUAGACCGGGGGCCGGUAUAUCUAUUUUUAGAAAAACUAAUUCAAAAACUCACGAUAAAGUCGGAUUGAUUUCUAAAAAUGUUAUGACAGACCGUCUUAAAAACGGAAUGGAAUUGUAUUUUUUUUCCUAUGAACGAUAAAACCCAGAAUAUUGAGAACAUAUGAACGUCACACCCCCUCUCCAUCCACAUAUUUUACAAUCAAGCAAAAUGCAACAAACAGCGAAAUAUGAACGCGAAGGGUCUGACCUGCUGUGACGUAGAUUACCAUAGUAACUAGUAGGUCAAUACUAAUGAAUCAUAUUCGGUACCAUACCGCCUCUGACAAGUACCAGUCCGCCACACUCUAAGAUUUUUUUGUUAAAAUAAAGCCAAUAAUGCAAUUUCUUCUGGUCCCCUUUAUUUAGAAAAGUAUCAAAAAGUACCAAAAAGUAUCAAAAUAAUAUUGGUAUCAGAACACUAGUCACUAAAAUAUUCCAACCAUUGAAAUACUUUGUAUAGACAUCACUGCACAACAUAAUGGCAGCUACACUUUCCAUCUUAAAGAUCUAAAAAAGUUAUAUGGGAACGACCGGCGGGCCAGAUUGAAAAGCUUAACGCAGGGGUCCUCAACCUUUUUUCAGUGAUGUACCCCCUUUUUUAAUUCAAGUACCCCCUAGUCAGAGCAAAGCAUUUUUGGUUGGAAAAAAAGAGAUAAAGAAGUAAAAUACAGCACUAUGUCAUCAGUUUCUGAUUUAUUAAAUUGUAUAACAGUGCUAAAUAUUGCUCGUUUGUAGUGGUCUUUGUUGAACUAUUUGGAAAAAAAGAUAUAAAAACAACUAAAAACUUGUUGAAAAAUAAACAAGUGAUUCAAUUACAAAUAAAUAUUUCUACACAUAGAAGUAAUCAUCAACUUAAAGUGCCCUCUUUGGGGAUUGUAAUAAAGAUCCAUCUGGGUUCAUGAACAUAAUUCUAAACAUUUCUUCACAAAAAAGAAAUCUUUAACAUCAAUAUUUAUGGAACAUGUCCACAAAAAAUGUAGCUGUCAACACUGAAUAUUGCAUUGUUGCAUUUCUUUUCGCAGUUUAUGAACUUAUAUUCAUAUUUUGUUGAAGUAUUAAUCAAUAAAUAUAUUUAUAAAGGAUUUUUGAAUUGUUGCUAUUUUUAGAAUAUUUUUUUUAAAAUGUCACGUACCCCUUGGCAUACAUUCGAGUACCCCCAGGGGUACGCGUACCCCCAUUUGAGAACCACUGACUUAACGGGAUUUAAUUUGUUCAGUUCUGAUGUAUACUGCUAUAUCAUAUUCUUAUAUCAUAAAUAAUAAAUACCAUGUGCAAUAUUACAGUAGAUGUAACAGCUGGAGCAUAAAAUAGAGAUUAGAUCCAGCAGAAAAUAGACAUUAUAAACAAAGAGAGGUAGCUAACUUUCAUAACAUGAUGGAAAAAAAAAUUUUCUGUCUUAGUUUGUUACCAACAUUUUUGAAAAGGAAAGUUAUGGCAUUUUGAAAGUCGCAUUCAACAAAAAGGUCACAGCUAAAAUUGACUUAAUGUCAAGGACUUGACCAGAAAUUCGUGCAUUUUUACCGGUUUUAACUUUCUGAAUACUUAUCACAGGGACAUUGUGCUUAUCUCACUAGAAUUGUCUUUACGAGACCUGUCUGAUAAUACCGGUUCUAAUGUUGAUUUACAUGAUCAACAACGGUUUUGUCCAAAUUAAAUGAAACUAGAAAAACAGGCAAUAAAGAAACGAUGGCGGCGACGCUUACCUAGCAGCUAGCUGGAAAUAUUGACCAGCAUCCAAGUCACUCCACAAUAACGGCGGCAAGCAGCAAUAAAAUGGGACGGCAACACCGGCGUCUACUUGGAGUCUUUACCGGGCUGAAGGUGCCAGAAAGCCGCUUGUCAUCUUCACCCAGCCUCGCUGGCUAAUAAAAGGAGCUGCGGUUCGUCAGCGUGUUGCGCAAUGGCCAGAGGGAAAUGUCACUCUAAACGUCGUCACGGGGAAAAAUAUCAUGAAAAUAGCUCGAACGUUGUAAAUACUGUUAAUUAAUUAAUUGUGUUUUAAAAAAAUUAAAUAAAAAUGACUACGACGUGCAUGAAGUUGAAAUGUGUGUUUUUAUGUGAGCGGGUGGGUAGGAACUAAAUACGACAUUUUGUUUCUGGGCGCAGGAAGUGAUUGAAUUGAUUGUGGUAUUUACCGGAAGUCUCCAUUGAUUCGAUCAGAGCUGUGAUUUAAUCAUUUCAUAAAGUUAGAAAAAAAUGCUGAUGUAUUUUUUUUUAAUCAGUCAAUUAUUAUUUUCGUUGAAUGGUAAUUUAAAAAAUACCAACAAUUACCAACAUUGUUGAUACAAAUUAUUAGGGGUGUGGGAAAAAAUCGAUUCUCAUUUUUUUUUUAAAAUCUUUGUUUUUGUCAUUUAAAUUAUUAUUAUUAUUAAUAUUUUGUUAUCAAUCCAACAAACCACUACACAGCAAUACCAUAACAAUGCAAUCCAAUUCCAAAACCAAACCUGACCCAGCAACACUCAGAACUGCAAUAAACAGAGCACUUGAGAGGAGACACAAACAUCAAAAGUAGUGAAACCAAAAUGAAUAUUAUCAACAACAGUAUCAAUAUUAGUUAUAAUUUCAGCAUAGCAGUGAUUAAAAAUCCCUCAUUGACAGUCUCAUCUUAAAACUCAUCUGUAUACUCUAGCCUUUAAAUAGACCUCCUUUUUAGACCAGUUGAUCUGCCGCUUCUUUUCUUUCUCCUAUGUCCCCCCCUCCCUUGUGGAGGGGGUCCGGUCCGAUGACCAUGGAUGAAGUACUGACUGUCCAGAGUCGAGACCCAGGAUGGACCGCUCGUCGGGACCCAGGAUGGACCGCUCGCCUGUAUCGGUUGGGGACAUCUCUACGCUGCUGAUCCGCUUGAGAUGGUUUCCUGUGGACGGGACUCUCACUGCUGUCUUGGAGCCACUAUGUAUUGAACUUUCACAGUAUCAUGUUAGACCCGCUCGACAUCCAUUGCUUUCGGUCCCCUAGAGGGGGGGGGGUUGCCCACAUCUGAGGUCCUCUCCAAGGUUUCUCAUAGUCAGCAUUGUCACUGGCGUCCCACUGAAUGUGAAUUCUCCCUGCCCACUGGGUGUGAGUUUUCCUUGCCCUUUUGUGGGUUCUUCCGAGGAUGUUGUAGUCGUAAUGAUUUGUGCAGUCCUUUGAGACAUUUGUGAUUUGGGGCUAUAUAAAUAAACAUUGAUUGAUUAUCAUUAGACAUUUAUAAAAAUGAAAAAAAGAACAAUAGUGUCACAGUGGCUCACACUUGCUUCGCAUCAUGUUUUCACAAAGAUAAAAUAAGUCAUAUUUAUGGUUUGUUUAAUAGUUAAAACAAAAUUACAUUAUUGCAAUCAGUCGAAAAAACAUUGUCCUCUACAAUUAUAAAAGCUUUUUCUUUUUUAAAUCUACUACUCUGCUAGCAUGUCAGCAGACUGGGGUAGAUCCUGCUGAAAUCCUAUGUAUUGAAUGAAUAAAGAAUCGGAAAAAUAUCGUUUUUGAAUCGAGAAUCGCGUUGAAUCGAAAAAAAUCGAUAUAUAAUGGAAUCGCGACCCCAAGAAUCGAUAUUGAAUCGAAUCGUGGGACACCCAAAGAUUCGCAGCCCUACAAAUUAUUGUUACAGUGUAAUAAUUAUUGUUACUUGUGGUAAUACCACUAUGAUACAACAUUUGUAUUAUAAUCCUUAAACAAAGUAAAAGGGAAACUCAUGGGAAUAAUAACUUAAUGGAGAACUGGGGGUGGGAUUAAAUAAAUGAUCUUCUUCCCACUCCCUUUCAGGCAAAAUUGGACAAUCAUGCGUUACACACUAUACAUUACCUUUUGCACUAUAUUAAUUUAUAUUAUUAUGUGUUGUCAACUUUGUACUUUUUUUUUAGUAUUAUUAUUUUAUGUGAUU